GACGAACGCUGGCGGCGUGCCUAAUACAUGCAAGUAGAACGCUGAAGGAGGAGCUUGCUUCUCUGGAUGAGUUGCGAACGGGUGAGUAACGCGUAGGUAACCUGCCUGGUAGCGGGGGAUAACUAUUGGAAACGAUAGCUAAUACCGCAUAACAUUAGAUAUCGCAUGAUAUCUACUUGAAAGUUGCAAUUGCAUCACUACCAGAUGGACCUGCGUUGUAUUAGCUAGUGGGUGAGGGAACGGCGCACCAAGGCGACGAUACAUAGCCGACCUGAGAGGGGGAUCGGCCCACCCGGGACUGGGGCACGGCCCAGACCCCUUCGGGGGGCCGCAGUAGGGGAUCUUCGGCCAUGGACGGAAGGCUGACCGAGCAACGCCGCGUGAGUGAAGGAGGUUUUCGGAUCGUAAAGCUCUGUUGUAAGAGAAGAACGAGUGUGAGAGUGGAAAGUUCACACUGUGACGGUAUCUUACCAGAAAGGGACGGCUAACUACGUG
rnacentral:rRNA from 1 species